rnacentral:lncRNA from 1 species
AAAUCAUUGAUUGGUUUCAGGAACCACUGAUUGAAGACUUCACUUCAGUCUGCCCAGAGUAACCAUCAAUACCCAGAGACCCUGGUAACAGAUUUGCUCCUGCUUCUGUCCUUAGCCUCUUCAGAUAAUUUAAAAUGUAACUAAAAUCUUCAAGUCUCUUCCAUACUCAAGAAUAGCUAAGAGACUACCCAGAACCCUCUGGGAGAAUGGAAGAAGUGGAAGCACUGAGAUUCUCAAGGGAGACUCAAUAAAAAGUAAGACCUAAAACUCCCUUACAGGAUGUUCAGAACAGUGAUUGUCAUUGUUUGACCUGCUGAGGUUUUUCACCACCCUAGAGGCCCUCUAGCAACAUGCUCAAUAAUUGGUCAAAGAGGGUAUUGGCUAUAUUUUUUUAUAAUAACUGAUGAAAUUGGGGGUCAGAAUGAAGUGAGAGCGGACACCAGAAAGAUUGUCCUGUGUGUGAGGUCAAGGAUAGGAAGAUGAGCAUUAACAAGGACAAGUCCAAGAUGAAGAAAUAUCCUGUUGUUGUUAUACUAGGAAUCCUUUCAUGGUUCUUCAAAGUCACAAGAAUAAGAAGUGAGUUGGGAGUGCCUUGUGAAAAGGGACUGUGACAAGUUCAUCCAUCAAAGUUUCUCUGGCUCAAGUCACUUCAUUGUAACAUAUAUCAAGAACUCUGUGCUAGACUAGCACUAAUAGGACCCCCAGUCCUCCAUUCAUAGCAUCUGAAUCUCUCAAUGGACCAAAAAAACCUAACACAGUUAGCCCAGGAUAGUACCAACAGAGAACAGAAGAGAAAAGAAGCAGUCUGAGGCCAAAUUGGAGUCAAUCCAGAAGACAUCUCACAUUUAUGAAGAAGAAGUGUUUGAGAAGGAUACAAUAAUGUCUUCUUUCUAAAGGGUCUUCAUCUUGUGGGUUCUCUUAAACCCACAGCAACCCAGAGAUGAGGAAAUUCCAUUUCUGUGUGACUCAGUUGCAAAUAACACAUUUUGAGCUGUUUUUGAUCAUUUCCAUAAUCAGUCAAAGAAUCAGCCAAAAGAUGCCGCUUACUACUUGUGUGACCUCGGAUAAGCCACCUAAGGAUGUCUACGCAAGUUUGCAGAAAUGUUCUGUGGAUUUCACUGGUCCCUGCUUCAUGGCUGACACUUCUGAUGGUAGCCAAGAGGAAGGUCUCCAGGGAUUUCAGCUCCAGCUGAGUGAUGUGUUUUUAGCUCCAGAUUGGCAAGCUGUUGGAACGGCAGGCUUUGCUUCCGAGCAAGGCUGAGGAGGUGUUUUGGGGAGGUGGAAGGAUUGGAAGGUAAAAAUUUACCUUGAAAAGCCGAGGGCUGAUCAGACCUAGUUUUUCAUCCUACACUGAGCCCAUAUGAGAGAAUUAAUAAAUGUUUUUAAGUAGUAAGAAGACA